rnacentral:rRNA from 1 species
UGAAUACGAGAUGCUACGGCGUCGAAGCAGUCUAUGUCAUACUUCCAAGAAAAGCUCGCACUGUCAUAAACAAAUAAUGCCUGUACCAUAACCGACACAGGUGGGUAGGUAGAGUAUACUAAGGGGCGCGAGAUAACUCUCUCUAAGGAACUCGGCAAAAUGACUCCGUAACUUCGGGAGAAGGAGUGCCUUAUUUAUAAGGUUGCAAUAACAAGAUCCAAGCAACUGUUUAUCAAAAACACAGGUCUCCGCUAAGUCGUAAGACGAUGUAUGGGGGCUGACGCCUGCCCAGUGCCAGAAGGUUAAAGAAGUUGGUUAGCAUUCGCGAAGCUGAUAACUGAAGCCCUGGUGAACGGCGGCCGUAACAAUAGCGGUCCUAAGGUAGCGAAAUUCCUUGUCGGGUAAGUUCCGACCCGCACGAAAGGCGUAAUGAUUUGGAUACUGUCUCGGAGAGGGGCUCGGUGAAAUAGACUUGUCUGUGAAGAUGCGGACUACCUGCACCAGGACAGAAAGACCCUAUGAAGCUUUACUGUAACUUGAGAUUGAAAUUGGACUUUACUUGCGCAGUAUAGGUGGGAGGCGUUGAUAAUAUUCUUGCGGGAUUAUUUGAGCCAUCAGUGAGAUACCACUCUUGUAAUGUUAGAUUUCUAACUUUGUAUCAUUAUCUGGUCAAAGGACAGUUUCAGGCGAGCAGUUUGACUGGGGCGGUCGCCUCCUAAACGGUAACGGAGGCGCACAAAGGUUUCCUCUGAACGGGUAGAAAUCGUAUCUAGAGUGUAAAGGCAUAAGGAAGCUUGACUGUGAGACCUACAAGUCGAGCAGGGACGAAAGUCGGUCUUAGUGAUCUGACGGUGCUGAGUGGAAAGGCCGUCACUCAACGGAUAAAAGUUACUCUAGGAUAACAGGCUGAUCUCCCCCAAGAGUUCACAUCGACGGGGAGGUUUGGCACCUCGAUGUCGGCUCAUCGCAUCCUGGGGCGGUAGUACGUCCCAAGGGUUGGGCUGUUCGCCCAUGAAAGCGGUACGCGAGCUGGGUUCAGAACGUCGUGAGACAGUUCGGUCCAUAUCCGGUGUAGGCGUUAGAAUAUUGAGAGGAGCCUUCUUUAGUACGAGAGGACCGAGAAGGACGUACCUCUGGUGUACCAGUUAUCGUGCCAACGGUAAACGCUGGGUAGCUAUGUAUGGAGUGGAUAACCGCUGAAAGCAUCUAAGUGGGAAGCCCACCUCAAGAUAAGUAUUCUC